AGAUUGAACGCUGGCGGCAUGCCUUACACAUGCAAGUCGAACGGCAGCACGGGAGCAAUCCUGGUGGCGAGUGGCGAACGGGUGAGUAAUAUAUCGGAACGUGCCCAGUCGUGGGGGAUAACGCAGCGAAAGCUGUGCUAAUACCGCAUACGAUCUAUGGAUGAAAGCGGGGGAUCGCAAGACCUCGCGCGAUUGGAGCGGCCGAUAUCAGAUUAGCUAGUUGGUGGGUAAAAGCCUACCAAGGCGACGAUCUGUAGCUGGUCGUGAGAGGACGACCAGCCACACUGGAACUGAGACACGGUCCAGACUCCUACGGAGCAGCAGUGGGAUUUUGGACAGUGGCGCAAGCCUGAUCCAGCAAUGUCCGCGUGGCAGGAUGGAAGGCCGUUUCGGUUAGUAACUGUCGUUUAGUAACGGUAACGAACGGUUCUACUCUAA
rnacentral:rRNA from 1 species